rnacentral:lncRNA from 1 species
AUUGUCUCCAAAGUUGGACUUUUGCCACUGGUUCUGCGACUUCAUGCAAUGCCAGGGAGAGCCCCUUGAUUUCCCCCAAAUCCUCAUCAGCCUCUUUCCACCCAAGCCCAGAUGAACAGUGUGAGUAAAAAAGAGUGUGGUUGCUGCGUGAACCCAGAUCUCAGACUAGUCAUCCAGCCCCAUUAUGUAGGACUCAGACACCCCUGUCCACAUCUAACCUCCAGCCCUAACGCCACAUUAGAAAUGGGGGUCUUACUGCUGCUGUCACUCCUAGUCACCCUGUUAAAUUCUAUACCGGUUUACCCAAGUCGCCCAGAGACUGGGCCCCACUUACAUAAGCUGAAGAGACCAGCUGCUUUAAUAGCCUCAUUACCUAGGAUAUAGGAUCACUGUCCAACCUCACUCCACAGUGGGCAAGUUUUUACUUCAGAAUAACUUUUGAAAUAAAUUUCCCCGGAACAGCUCGCCCCUCUCAACAGGACUCUGAGGCUCCACUACGUUGCUGUUAUUCCUGACAGAGUGAUGAAAGGAAAUUUAAACAAGUGGCAUUUUGUAAAACCACCCCAGCCUGUGUGACUUUCAAUGCCUGUCCGAUUUGGCUGGGAAAAUAUUUUAGAUCCCCAGGGCUACAUACUGUUUUUUAUACCCUCCUCUUUGUGUCAGUGAUGGAAAAGGUGUCAAUCUGCUCUGAAUCUCUCUGAACACCUCAGGAAAUAGGCUUUUGGCUCGCAGAGAGGGGAUGAGAAAUAGUUUUGAACCACCAAGUCUCUUGGAGGGUGUCAGCAGCCCCUUGAAGUAAAAGUGUGGCUGCAAACCCAGCUCUCUGCAUUAGCCAGGUGAACCUGAGCAUGCUGCAUACACCCUCAGUCUUGGUUUCUUAAUAUGUAAAAUGGGAAUGAAUAUGCGCACCUCGUGGGGUGGUUGUGAUUAAAGGCAUUCAUUAUAAAGAGCUUAGUUUCAUACAAAGUGAUCAGAAGUGUUGGUUUCCCUCCUUAAGUUUUCUUCUCAUUCCUUUUUCCCCUGCGCUUACAGCCAUGCAGUGUACAUUCAAGAAAUUUCCAUGAGGGCAUGAGGUGUCCAGUGUUAGCCUCAAAUCAAGCAUCCACGAGGUAGUUAGUGUAUACAUUAUAUACAUUUAAAGAGGAGGUCUUAGGAAAAGCCAAACCCUGUCUCAAAAUGAGCUUCCACUCUCACCUGGAUGCCAAGUAACACACACACACAAACAAAGGGCAGUAUGGAGUUCACAAGGGAAUGUUCCCGUUUAACUGGAGUCAGCUGAGCUGGAUUCUAGUCCAAUUUCUGCCAGUUAUUCCCUGUGUGACCCAUGUGAUAAAAUGUAUAGAAGGCUUAAAGUGUGCCAAGCAUUGUGGAUUAUAGCACUUAAUUCUCACACUGAUCCAUAUGGUUACUCCUGCUAUUAUCCCCAUUUUACAGAUGAGCAAACUGAGAGAGGUUACAUAACUUGACUCAGGUCACAGUAAAUACAUGGUGGAGCCAGGCUUUGAGACCAGGUAGUAUGAUUCCAGAGCCCACACCUUCCCUGCUGCAUCAUACUAAAUGGGGGCAAGUCACUUAGCCUCUGGGCCUCAGUUUUUCUCAUCUGAACAGAAAGGGGGCCAGACUAGGCGCCACCCAGGGCUCCUUUCAGCUCCAACUUUCUAUACAUCUACUAAGAAAAUUACAUAUGGAUGCUAAAUAAGUUAGGCCCAGGGUGCUUUUAAGAGAAACGUCAAAGUGGAUAGGGUUGCUUCAUUUCCCAGGGGUGGAAAGCCACUAAAAUAUUUCUUCUGUGUUCCUGGUUCCAAUUUGCCACUCAAAAAGCCAAACAAAGAAAUCAUCCCCCAGAGUUCCAUUCCAAUUGAUUUAGAUCCCUGAGGCUAAUUUUGACCAAAAUGGAAGGAGAAGCAGAAGGUGUGGAAACCCAUGGCUUUCUGCACAACAGAUACACAUGAUGAGAAGUCUGUAUUCUCUUACACACAUAUACACACACACACACACACACAACCAGUGUUCAUAUCGCCUUCCACUGAAGCUCAUACCAGUUCCUCUAGCCAAGUUGUCAUGGCAACACCAGCUGCCAAUGAGAUCAUGGAAGACAAGGUCAUAAUGGCAAUGGUGCCUUAAUAUUUUACCUGGCAAAGCCACUUAGUUAUUAAGAUGAAUAACCAUAAGUCAUAAACUCAUAGGAAGCUAGGCACCAUUCAUGUACAUGUUUAGUGUACAAUUGGGGGUGGGGAAUGGAAAUGACAGCGAAGGGAAAGGAACAAAAAGGAAGAGAGGAUGAGGCAGAGAGCGGAGAAGAAGACUCAUCUACUCACCUGAGGAUUAUGAGGAUUAUGAGUUUUAUGGAGCAAAAUUUGCCUAGAACAGGUUGUCAGCUUCUGUGGACACAGUCUUCUACCCUCAGAAAUCCCAUUGGAAGAAAGAACAAAUGAAGCAUCCCAAGGACUGGAGGAUUCUCUUCCCCCAGGGUAUUCAAGGAAGACACUGGGGAACAAAUUGAACAAAGUUUAUUUCAUCAACAAUGAAAAAUGCCCAGAAGGAAAUGAAGCACAAGAUUCAGUUACACAAAGAUGAAAGCUAUUGACCACUUGGCCACUUCUCAUACUAAAAGAGAAGGAAAUAACACGAAGUACUGGAAGUGACAUUAUAUUGUCCUCAUGGUGACAACCAGGAUGGGCCUGACAUAAGCCAGUCCAGGCUGUAUGUGUGGCCCGAGUGCACACAUGCGGUUUCUCUGGCCACCGAAUCAGAACCAGCUGGGCCCCACAAGUCAGUCUCUGGGGGCUGUGAUUCUGCAUUGCAAACAAGUCCUUGGGUAGCUCUCAGGGUUCACCAAGAUUUGAGAACCACUAGUGUGGCUGACUCCAGUGAAACAGUCCCACUUUUACUGCUUUCAACUGUCAUUUAUAUAGAUUCAGGCAAAGAAUGGUUUUUAGAAUGAUGCCCGAUGUAGCAAAUAAAAUGAUCUCAACAUA